UGUGCCCAUAGCUCAGCUGGAUAGAGCAUCAGAUUGCGGUUCUGAGGGUCAGAGGUUCAAGUCCCCUUGGGCACGA
rnacentral:tRNA from 1 species